rnacentral:pre_miRNA from 1 species
GGGCACUAUUUUGAAAUCGCGCUAUUUCGAAAUAAAACGCCCCGUGUAACCGCGUUAUUUCGAGAGAAAACCCUUCUCUCAAAAUAACUGGUAAACCUCAACAGUUAUGUCGAAAGAAGGGUUUUCUCUCAAAAUAACGCGGUUACACAGGGCGUUUUAUUUCAAAAUAGCGUGAUUUCGAAAUAGCGCCC